AUUGAACGCUGGCGGCAGGCCUAACACAUGCAAGUCGAACGGUAACAGGAAGAAGCUUGCUUCUUUGCUGACGAGUGGCGGACGGGUGAGUAAUGUCUGGGAAACUGCCUGAUGGAGGGGGAUAACUACUGGAAACGGUAGCUAAUACCGCAUAACGUCGCAAGACCAAAGAGGGGGGACUUUGGGGCCUCUUGCAUUCGAAGGUCCCAGAUGGGAUUAGCUAGUAGGUGGGGUAACGGCUCACCUAGGCGACGAUCCCUAGCUGGUCUGAGAGGAUGACCAGCCACACUGGAACUGAGACACGGUCCAGACUCCUACGGGAGGCAGCAGUGGGGAAUAUUGCACAAUGGGCGCAAGCCUGAUGCAGCCAUGCCGCGUGUAUGAAGAAGGCCUUCGGGUUGUAAAGUACUUUCAGCGGGGAGGAAGGGAGUAAAGUUAAUACCUUUGCUCAUUGACGUUACCCGCAGAAGAAGCACCGGCUAACUCCGUG
rnacentral:rRNA from 1 species